rnacentral:rRNA from 1 species
GAGUUUGAUCAUGGCUCAGAACGAACGCUGGCGGCGUGGAUUAGGCAUGCAAGUCGUACGCGAAAGUAGACUUCGGUUUGCGAGUAGAGUGGCGAACUGGUGAGUACAAGGUGACUAACCUGCCCUUAAGUGGGGGAUACCGUCGGGAAAUCGACGUUAAUACCGCAUAGUCUCUUUGCCUUUCGAGGUGACGAGUAAAGCAGCAAUGCGCUUGAGGAGGGGGUCACCCCCCAUUAGCUUGUUGGUAGGGUAACGGCCUACCAAGGCUGCGAUGGGUAGCUGGACUGAGAGGUUGGCCAGCCACACUGGGACUGAGAUACGGCCCAGACUCCUACGGGGGGCAGCAGUCUAAGGCUUCGACAAUGCCCGAAAGGGUGAUCGAGCGACGCCGCGUGUGGGAUGACAGUCUUCGGAUCGUAAACCACUUUUGUUUGGGAAGAAGGCCUGUAUCGUGAAUAUGGGAUUGACGGUACCAAACGAAUAAGCCCCGGUUAACUCCGUGCCAGCAGCCGCGGUAAGACGGAGGGGGCAAGCGUUGUUCGGAAUCAUUGGGCGUAAAGGGCUCGUAGGCGGACUAGUAAGUCUGGCGUGAAAUCUCCACCGUCACCCGGGGAGAGGUCGCUGGAUACUGUAGUCUUGAAGUUCGGGUAAAGGGG